GCUAACCAGUUCUGAUGUGCAAAUCGUUUGGAUGACUUGGGUAUAGGGGUGAAAGGCCAAUCUAGGCCGGAUAUAGCUGGUUCCCCGCGAAACUAGUCGCAGCUAGACUUCGAUCGAGGCAGAAUGUGAGGUAGAGCACCGAUUGGAUGCUUAGGGAGGGAAACCUCUCGGUGUCUUGUCAAACUCCGAACUUGCGUUCACCGUAGACAUCGGAUGCAAGGCUACCCGGGGUAAGCUUGGUAGCCAUAAGGGAAACAACCCAGACUUAAGUUAAGGUCCCCAAAUCUCAGUCAAGUGUAAUAUGAAAUGGCGUCAGUAGUCUAAAACAACCGGGAGGUGAGCUCAGAAGCAGCCACCCUUUAAAGAUAGCGUAACAGCUCACCGGUCGAGAUUAUGGGCCCAGAAAAUGGACGGGGCUAAACUGAGUACCGAUACUUAAGAAUACAGCAAUGUAAUUUGAUAGCGGGGCGUGGUGCAUGGGCAGAAGUAGGGCCGUGAGGUCCUAUGGACCGUGUACCAACGAGGAUCAUGGAGUGAGUAGCAGCAUAGCAUGGUGAGAAUCCAUGUCGCCGCAGGGGCAAGGGUUCCUUGGCAAUGUUCGUCAGCCAAGGGUUAGUCGAUCCUAAGGUAACUCUUAAUCGAGGUUAUCGAAAGGGAAUCAGGUUAAUAUUCCUGAACUUCAACACUCUUUGCCUAUGGUGCAGGAUCGGGGUAGCUAAAGCAAGCCUGUCAGCUUGUCUAAACGUCUAACGAGGUGAAGAACCGUAAUGGUGAGAAGCCUCCGAAAGCGCGAUGGGGCGGGAGUAAUCCCGCUUUUGGUAAUCCCUGGUCCCAGUGAAAACACCAUAGUUACAAGUGUUGGAAUCGUACCAAGAACCGACACAGGUGUCCCUAGGUGAGUAGCCUAAGGCGUGUUAGCAUAAUCAAGGUAAGGGAAUUCGGCAAAUUAGCCCUGUAACUUCGGGAUAAAGGGUGCCAGUAGUGAGAGCUACUGGUCGCAGUGACAAGAGAAAUCCGACUGUUUAGUAAAAACAUAGGUCCCAGCUAGUUCGAAAGGAUGUGUAUUGGGGCCGAAGCCUGCCCAGUGUCGGCAUCUGAAAUCCGGUUUCAACCGGUCGAAGGACCGAUAAACGGCGGGGGUAACUAUGACCCUCUUAAGGUAGCGUAAUACCUUGUCGCUUAAUUGGCGACUUGCAUGAAGGCUCAACGAGGUUUCCACUGUCCCUACCUUGACGCUAGUGAAAACAAUCAAUCUGGUGCACAAUCCAGAUCAUUCCAUCUGAAAGCGAAGACCCCAUGGAGUUUCACUGCAACCUGUUGUUGUUGUAGGAGAUGGUAUGUGUAGGGUAGACGGGAGACGUUACCCAGGAAGGAGCGCUAGCUUCUCUCCGAGUCAACGAUGAAACACCGUCCUUACCAUUUCUUACGACUCACCCUUUCGAGGGGACAGCUAUAGGCGGGCAGUUCGGGUGGGGCGCCACGCCCUCAAAAAGAUAACAAGGGCGCCCAAAGGUUAGCUCAGUAAGGUCAGAAAUCUUACGAAGAAUGUAAAGGUAAAAGCUAGCUUGACUCGGAACCAGACAAUAGGGUUCGGAGAUAGGAAACUAUGGCUUAGCGAACCAAUCAGCCUCCCAAGUGGGGGCGAUUGAUAUCAGAAAAAUUACCCUGGGGAUAAUUGAGUUGUCACGGGCAAGAGUUCAUAUCGACCCCGUGGCUUGCUACUUCGCUGUCGGCUCUCCCUAUCCUGGUGGUGCAGCAGCUGCCAAGGGUGGGGUUGUUCGCCCAUUAAAAGGGAUCGUGAGCUGGGUUUAAAACGUCGCGAGACAGUUUUGUUGCUUUUUGAUGGAAUUGUUCGUGCCUGACGAGAAGGAUCCUUUAGUACGAGAGGAACAGGGAUUCGUCGCCUCUAGUUUAUCUGUUGUCUGACAAGGCAGGCAGAGUAGCCACGCGAUAGUGAAUAAGAGCUGAAGGCAUCUAAGCUCGAAGCCACCUUGAAAAAGAGGCACUAUAAGAUAUCCGUAUAUGACGGGUUUGAUAGAAGCCGGAUGUAAGUACUGAGGUUCGCCGAGGUAUUCAGUCCUGGCUAACUAACAUCUUUGCCGC
rnacentral:rRNA from 1 species